rnacentral:rRNA from 1 species
CAGCCGCCGCGGGAAUACGAAGGGGGCUAGCGUUGCUCGGAAUCACUGGGCGUAAAGGGUGCGUAGGCGGGUCUUUAAGUCAGGGGCGAAAUCCUGGAGCUCAACUCCAGAACUGCCUUUGAUACUGAAGAUCUUGAGUUCGGGAGAGGUGAGUGGAACUGCGAGUGUAGAGGUGAAAUUCGUAGAUAUUCGCAAGAACACCAGUGGCGAAGGCGGCUCACUGGCCCGAUACUGACGCUGAGGCACGAAAGCGUGGGGAGCAAACAGGAUUAGAUACCCGGGUAGUCCCUGUCUCUUAUAC